UACGGGGGGGGACAAGCGUUGUUCGGAAUUACUGGGCGUAAAGGGCUCGUAGGCGGCCAACUAAGUCGGAUGUGAAAUCCCCAGGCUUAACCUGGGAACUGCAUCCGAUACUGGAUGGCUUGAAUCCGGGAGAGGGAUGCAGAAUUCCAGGUGUAGCGGUGAAAUGCGCAGAUAUCAGGAGGAACACCGGUGGCGAAGGCGGGUCUCUGGGCCGAUACUGACGCUGAGGAGCGAAAGCGUGGGGGAGCGAACAGG
rnacentral:rRNA from 1 species